GACACAUUUACAUUAAUUGCUAAAAACUGAUAAGGCUGUGUCAAAAAAAUUAAAAAUUAAAAACAAAAAAAAUCGGAUGAACAGUCCCUCCUUUAUUUUAUUGGGAAAAAUAAGAUAAAUUUAUUCGACAAUGUGCCACGUGUUCUGAUACCUACCUUGCAUAGCAUUAGUGUAUGUUAUACAAAUAAUAGUUAUAACAUAGUUUACUUACAUCAGUUACAAAUUACUUUGUGUGUGCAUAUUUGCAUAAUGACUAAUGCACAUGGUGCUAUAUUAUAUGAUAUAUGGAUUAUAUAAUUUAUUAUUAGUUGUGGUACAAAGAUAAUCCCAAAAGAAUGUAACUACAGUAUGGGCAAAGUUGAGAUUAUCGGGAAAGGAAUAUUAUGACAUUACUAUAUAAAAGUGGAAAUAGUCAUUAGAUUGCACGAACCAAGCUGUGGUCGUGUGAUUGGGAUUUACUUGUAUUUGAUCAUUUUUAUCACGCUCCACAAUGAAUUGCGGACCACUAGACCAAGGCGAGGGAAGCAAUGGAUUAAGGUAUAAAUUUCAUGUAACACAUGAAAAAUUUUAGUACAGAUUAUAAGUUGUUUUCUAGUUAUAAAUGUAGGAGCAACGAGUACGGUAUUGGUGUUGGGGAUCGUCACAAGAAAGCAGAUAGAAUUUUUCUACUGGCCACUCGGAUGGUCACUUGGUAAUGCUGACCAACAACAGUUGCUACAUUGUAUUAAUUGUUAGUUGAACUUCAUAUCCAAGGAAGGAUUUGUACUUCUGGAUAAAAGCAUGGUCUGGUCAUGGUCGGAUAGUGGGACUCCCAUAAUAGGAGCAAAUGGCUAGGACAAGAUAGCUAUAAGAGACACUAAUUCUGUGUGGAGUUAUCGAAUAUGAAGAUUUUGGGUUCAUGGAUUUGAG
rnacentral:lncRNA from 1 species